AAUGCAGCAAGAGAGUGUCUCCCAUGCAUGGGAGUGUAGGCUGUUGUAUGUCAAUAAAGCAGCUAACGCUAGCGCGCUAAAGUAAUGCACUUAGUGGAUUAGGAUGUUGAGACAGGCAUGGCGUUGGUCGGCGUUUAGAGACACUCGUGCGGGGACCGCACGCUCCGCGGCUGCGUCCUUUCUGGCAGCUGACGGUCCGCGGCGGAGCUCAGCUGGUCCCACGAGGGGUUUCGAAGACAUUCCCCAUUCACUGAGAGGCAGGUCACAGCUACUCCAACAACCACAGUCGGUGUCGGCCAGCUACCUCAGUCCGUCUGUGUUCCUGAGCAUGGCAUCAGGGAGUAGCAAUCCACCAUCACCGCAUCCCAAACACACAAACCGGUUGGCCAAUGAGCGGUCGCCAUACCUGUUACAACAUGCACACAACCCCGUCGACUGGUAUCCAUGGGGACAUGAGGCGUUUGAAAAGGCAAAAAAGGAAGACAAACCCAUCUUCUUAUCAGUGGGCUAUUCAACGUGCCAUUGGUGUCACGUUAUGGAGAGGGAGUCUUUCAAAGAUGAGGAGAUUGGAAAAAUCCUCAGUGACAACUUUGUCUGCAUCAAACUGGACAGAGAAGAGAGACCCGACGUGGACAAGGUCUACAUGACCUUUGUGCAGGCAACAAGUGGGGGUGGAGGCUGGCCCAUGAGUGUGUGGUUAACUCCCGACCUUCGACCUUUUAUCGGAGGUACUUACUUCCCCCCGAGGGACCAAGGAAGAAGACCAGGCUUCAAGACAGUUCUGAUGAGAAUCAUUGAACAGUGGCAGAACAACCGAGCGACUUUAGAGUCCAGUGGUGAGAAGAUAAUCGACGCUCUAAAGAAAGGCACAACCAUCACUGCGAACCCAGGAGAAAGCCCUCCCUUGGCCCCAGACGUUGCUAACCGCUGCUUUCAGCAGCUGGUCCACUCCUAUGAGGAAGAGUACGGAGGCUUUAAAGACGCUCCCAAGUUCCCCUCUCCAGUGAAUCUGAUGUUCCUCAUGUCUUAUUGGUCCAUGAAUUGCUCCACCUCAGAGGGUGUCGAGGCCCUCCAGAUGGCCUUGCACACACUCCGAAUGAUGGCACUGGGAGGCAUCCACGACCACAUUGCACAGGGUUUUCAUCGUUACUCCACAGACUCUUCGUGGCACGUUCCUCACUUUGAGAAGAUGCUGUAUGACCAGGCUCAGCUGGCUGUGGCUUACAUAUCCGCUUUUCAGGUAUCAGGUGAGCAGUUCUACGCAGACGUGGCUAAGGACAUACUGCUGUACGUCUCCAGGGACCUGAGUGACAAGUCUGGAGGCUUCUACAGUGCAGAAGAUGCUGACUCCGUCCCAGCACCAGGGGGGCUGGAGAAGCGAGAGGGGGCCUUCUGCGUGUGGACGGCCUCAGAAGUGCGGGAGCUCCUGCCUGACGUGGUAGAGGGCGCGGUUGGAGCCGCCACACUCGCAGACGUUUUUAUGCACCACUACGGAGUCAAGGAGCAAGGCAACGUUGCAGCUGAGCAGGAUCCACACGGGGAGCUGCAGGGGAAAAAUGUGCUGAUUGUCCGUUAUUCAGCAGAGCUAACAGCUGCUCACUUUGGCAUCACGGUUGAGAAAUUCAACGAACUCAUGACCUCAGCCAGAGGCAGAAUGGCAGAAGUGAGGCAGAUUCGCCCGCGACCCCACCUGGACACCAAGAUGCUGGCUUCCUGGAAUGGCCUGAUGCUGUCCGCCUUCGCUCGGGUUGGAGCCGUGCUGGGGAACGAGGUGCUGCUGGAGAGAGCGGUGCAAGCGGGAAACUUCCUGAAGGAGCACCUGUGGGACCCCCAUCAGCAGAACAUGCUCCGAUCUUGUUACGGCGGAGACCAGAUGGAGGUGCAACAGAUAUCCCCGCCUAUCUGCGGCUUCCUGGACGACUAUGCCUUUGUGGUUUGUGGCCUGCUGGACCUGUACGAGGCCACGUUCCAGACGGAGUGGCUGCGGUGGGCAGAGGAGCUGCAGGCCAGGCAGGACGCGCUGUUCUGGGACAACCAGGGCGGAGGUUACUUCUGCAGCGAGCCCAGCGACGCCGCGGUUCUGCUGCGACUGAAGGAGGAUCAGGAUGGAGCAGAGCCCAGCGCCAACUCCGUCUCAGCUUCCAAUCUUCUGCGCCUGUCCCACUACACCGGAAAACAAGAGUGGCUCCAGAAGUCCCAGCAGCUGCUGGCAGCAUUCUCCGACCGGCUGACCAGUAUUCCCAUAGCUCUGCCCGAGAUGGUCCGGGCUCUCAUGGCCCAGCACUACACACUUAAACAGAUUGUGAUCUGCGGUCAGAAGGAGGCUUCGGACACCGCAGGGCUUCUUGCAGCAGUCAAUUCCCUCUUUUCACCGUUUAAGGUUGUGAUGCACACCGAUGGGAAUCCAGAAAGCUUCCUGUGCCAACGUCUGCCCGCGCUGUCCUCCAUGACCCAGCUGGACGGUGCCGCCACAGCCUACGUCUGCCAGGACCUCACCUGCUCCCUGCCUGUCACCGAGCCCCAGGAACUGCGGCGGCUGCUCCUGGACGGGGCCACGGCGCAGGAGGCCCUCUGAUGUGGGAAGGCCAAGACUGCAUCCUGCAAAAUCUGCUGCUUCCUGACUUUCCCCUCAGUGAACACCAAAGCUUUAGAAAGUUCUGGUGCAGUGCCUUGCAGACGUAACGAAAUAAAUUCCUCUUCCCGGUUUUCUUCCAGAAUUCAGCUUCUUGCCAUCGACUCCUGGGCAGCUUCCCUGAGCUGAGAGAAAAGCAUCCCCACAGGAUCGUGCUGCUAUUGCCAGGUUUUACAAUGAGAUAUGGCUGCUGUGUCUCAGGCUGUGAUAAUGAGGCCACAGGGGGCUGAGAACAGAGGCACAUCGACUUGGAGAGAGGAGGAAUAUUCAGAAGCAUCCGAGUGAGGUUUGUGUGCGUGUUGAAGAUGAGAGUCCUUUUAUUCUGCUGCUCUGUCACAGAAUUCAAACGCCAGAUUUCGCUCGGGUCUGAUGUUGUCUUGUGAUGCGCUUUAAACUAUUUUAGUAGUUUCGUUUAGAAACGUCUGGAAUAAAGUUUUACUUUAAAUUAAAAACUGAUUUAUCUGUGGAAGCUUAAAUUGCAAAUGCACACAGAGAUGACUGAGCUUUACAUUUAUUUUUUUCAUAUUUUUUAUUUGCCUAGGUGUAGGUCAAAUGUCACCCCUGAGGAUGUCAUAUAUUCGCACUUUUAAUCAAAAGCUUACACAGUUAUAUGCCCCGGGGUUAUGAACCACAACUGUCUGCAAAUAGCUGAAAACUGUCUACUUUCAAACACCAAAUAUACUUUAGCAUUGUACUUUUUUUUUAGUAGUAAAUACUGAUAAGAUUAUUAUAGUGGGGGACUUUAACAUUCAUGUUGACACCCAGGGUGUUUAAUGCUCUUAGACUCAUUUGGCUUUACUCAAAUAAUUCACAGUCCGUUAUUAUGGUCACAUUACACCUUGUGCUAUAAGGCACUGAGUGUGGAAAAAAUAACAGUAACUCCCCAUAACCCUGUGCUGUCUGGUCAUAUUUAACAACCUUUGAGUUUAUUUUAGCCGACUAUUCUGGAAUAAACAAAUGUUUUUGUUAUAAAAGGUCUUCAUCAGACAAUGCUAUAAAAAAACUUUAAAAGAUCUGUUCCACGUUUAAUUUCCUUUUAAUCUCAGAGAAAUGUAGACAGAAGGAGAAAUUGAAUGUCUAGCCAUUCUUAAACUGAUGUUCUUGUUCAUAGUCACUUCAUCAUUGCAUGUGGCUUUAGUGAAAAAAAUCUGCAAAUAGACAAAUUUUCCACUAAUAGUUUGGAGUCAUGUUCCAUGGAAAAAUGAGCAAAUUGGCUAAGUGGUUUAAAAAGGCCAUGGAGUCAAGCGGUACUGGUCCACAGAACCCAAACACACAUCGAUGCUGUUUUUCUGACCAGAGACUGGAUUGACAAAAAAAAACAAAAAACUU